GGUGGCUCAGUGGUAGAAUGCUUGCCUUGAAUGCAUGAGGCCCUGGGUUUGAUUCCCCAGCACCA
rnacentral:tRNA from 1 species